AGAAGAACUGAAGCUAGAUGAUACCUAAUAGCUAAUGCAGGUCUUAUUUAAUGUUUGGAAUUAAUUGUGAGAUUAAAUAAUGAUGAUAACAAAUCUAAGAGAGUACUUUUCAAGAAUAAAAUCCAGUAUUUAAGUUUUCAUGGUGGUAUCAAGAUUCUUCAUUUGUUAUUAGAAAGGUAUUUUUUUAUUUUUUUUAAAAGCCCCUUUAAUUUAUUAAAUUGUAAGAACAGUAUUGUGUUAGUGACUCCUGAUUACAUGUUAAGAAUUUAAAAGAAUGCAUUCCCUUAGUUUGCCAUUAUUACACACAAAUAUCCAUGAAUAUUUAUGUCAAUAUUCCUUAUAAGAAGAUUUAGCUAAUUUUAUCUGAUCAGAAAAGGGUUGGAAAAUGGAAGAGAUUAGAGACUCUGUAGAAGAAGGAAAAGAAAGAAACUGGAAAGAGAAAAUCCUAGGAAAUCUGAAACCUUACAUCUUUUGUAUAUUUUGUUCAUUCUGCUAUGCAGCAUCCAACAUAAUUGCUAAGCUUUGUUUAGACAAAGGCAUGAGUCGUUAUGUUCUUGUGGUGUAUGGAUAUGCUUUUGGGACUGUAACUACAGCAGUUCUAGCACUACUCUUCGAAAGGAAAGUGGAGAGCAAAUUAAGUUUAUCGAUCUGCCUAAAUAUCUUCUUCUUGGGUCUUAUGGGGGUCUUAGGCAGAAUACUUUUCUAUGAUGGACUGGAGAGUACUUCACCAACCUUUGCAGCUGCAAUUAACAAUUUGGUUCCAUCAAUGACCUUUAUUUUGGCAAUUUUGUGCAGGAUGGAAAAAUUAUACUUUGAGAAGCUCAGCAGCCAAACAAAGACUGCAGGAACUAUAGUUGCACUUGGUGGUGCUACGCUCAUGACCCUAUUCAAGGGUGCUACUGUGAUUUCAAUGCAUGCCCUCCACACCCAUCAACAGGCUGCAACAAAACAACUCUUAUAUAGGCACUUGACAAAGGGCUCCGUCUUGCUUAUUUUUCAGUGCCUUGUCACAGCAGCAUACUACAUCUUACAGGCGAAAACAGUGAAAAGGUAUCCGGCUCCUUUUACUCUUACCACAUUGACAAGCCUAUCAGGCACUCUAAUUGCAACAGUCGUAGCAGCAAUUCUUGAUCACAAAGCUUCAUCAUGGAAAUUGUCUUUGGACAUCACUCUUGUUGCUCCACUUUAUUGUAAUUUUGCAGGGGAUUAUGAUCAUGGGAAUUGUUACUUAUAUUCAAACUCUAGUAGUGCGAGUAAGAGGUCCAGUUUUCGUGACGGCAUUUAGACCUCUCAUUACAGUGAUUGUAGCUAUUAUGGGACUGCUCAUUUUAGGGGAGGCAUUGCACUUGGGAGGGAUAAUUGGAGCUACAAUGAUAGUUAUGGGGUUGUAUGCAAUUCUGUGGGGAAAGCAAGUAGAGAAAAGCAAAAAGUUGGUGCAGCCUGCAAGACCUGAACAAGGAAUUGAGAUUAAAUCAGAAAUGUUAACAUGACACUUGUUUCUGUUUUUCCUCUUCUUUCUAUGAGUUUAAGAGAAGUACUUAUCAACCAUUGAUUUUUUUUUUUUAUUGUA